GCUGGGAUAGCUCAGUUGGUGGAGCAUGCGACUCUUAAUUUCAGGGUCGUGGGUUUCACUCCCACGUUGGGCG
rnacentral:tRNA from 1 species